CAGUAGCCGCGGGAAUACGAAGGGGGCUAGCGUUGCUCGGAAUCACUGGGCGUAAAGGGUGCGUAGGCGGGUCUUUAAGUCAGGGGUGAAAUCCUGGAGCUCAACUCCAGAACUGCCUUUGAUACUGAAGAUCUUGAGUCCGGGAGAGGUGAGUGGAACUGCGAGUGUAGAGGUGAAAUUCGUAGAUAUUCGCAAGAACACCAGUGGCGAAGGCGGCUCACUGGCCCGAUACUGACGCUGAGGCACGAAAGCGUGGGGAGCAAACAGGAUUAGAUACCCGAGUAGUCCCUGUCUCUUAUAC
rnacentral:rRNA from 1 species